rnacentral:lncRNA from 1 species
CAAAGACCUUCCUGUGCAUUUGUAAACAGCUGUUCCAUUGUGGCUGUAAACAGCUAGCUAGCUAAGCUAACUUAGUGUAGUUGUUUUUUUUACCAUUGUAUUCGUCGGUGGGAUGGUCCUUACUUCUGGGGGAAAUAAAAGUUUAUAGCUAGAUUUCCCAAAGAAUCAUUGCAGCGGGCUACAUUGCCUGCAUGGAUAGUAACGUUAGCAGCAGCAGGAGGUGGCGGCACCAGGAUGAUGUGUAGCACACGGAUGGUUUAGUGUCGCUGGGACUUGUGGAAAUCAGCAUGCAGCUAUGUUCCUGCAGCAAUGUCUUUGGUGUACCAGUCCAGCUCAAAUG